UUUUCUUGUCCUAGUAGAGUGGCAGCUGGCUGGUGGUCCCAUCUCAUAUCAGCCAGAGUCAAAGCAACCCCCUAUUUAUGACUGCUUGACUUUGGGUCUGUGCCCAUGCCUGGUUCAUACCUUGAACAUGGAG